UCUCUCUCUCUCUCUCUCUCUCUCUCUCUCUCUCGCAGACCCACUCCACCCGCGGUGGCGUGCCAUCCGCCUCCGCACCAUCUUCCCCGGACACGCCUUCGCCUCGGCCGAAGCAGGAGUGGAGAUGGCAGUGAUUGCCGCUGUAGCUAACAGCAUCCGCAUACCCUUGUGGAGAUUAUUUGGGGGAGCAUCAAACACUGUGACAACAGACAUCACGGGACGUUUCAAAAAAAAACCAGACAUCACGAUUCCAAUUGUGACCCGAAAUGAAGCCGCUCAAUUGGCUGCAAAAUAUCAAGGACAAGGGUUUCAGACUCUGAAGCUCAAAGUAGGGAAAAACUUGAACUCAGACAUAGAAGUUCUGAAGGCUAUACGGCGACUGCUCAUUUAUCUUGGAUGCAAAUGAAGGGUACACAGCAAACCAUGCAAUUGAAGUUCUUGACAGACUAAACGAUUCUAUGAUGAUUGAUGCAAAGUCCGUGUUGUGCUCCUAUGAUCGAGGUAUAAAAGAAGCAGCAGAAAAUUGAGUACAUCGUUCUCUGUUGCGUCGAGGAUUGAUUCCAGUGCAACCUUUCACUGAAAUCAUAUGAAGUAGACUGCAGCCAUGAAUUAAUUUUCCUUCAUGAUGUCUACAUGACCUUUUGAGCGUUUGGAUAUGAUUUACGGAAUUUGCCGCAGGUCUGAUCCCUUGCGCGUGCUCCUCCGCUUGCCCUCUCGACCCUCCCCUUGCUCAUCGCCAUCCAUUUUAUUCAGAGUGUAGAUGGCGGGCAAAACACCUAAGCUCCAGAGCAAGGAUGAAAAGCACUCCAUACACACCCACAAGGAUGAUGAUCCAUCUGUUUCUAGGAUGGUGGGACUUGAGGUCCAACUGCGUAGGUUUACAUUCAACUUCGCUUGUUGAUAUUUCUGACAUAUACUUGAUGGAAUAUACAUAAAUAUGUGUUCUUUCUUAUAGGUAUGCACCAGAUUCAAGGAUCAGCUACUUGAUGAAAUAUACAGGAGACUCUCCUACUCAACAUUACCUUAAAAAAGAAUCAAGGAUCAGUUCAAUGGGAAUUGGAAUGAUGAAAACACUUGUUUGAGCACAUGUGAUCCUCAUAAUAGCACAUUUGUAAUAAAUCACUGUAGUCAAAUCACUUUUUUUUAUAAUUGUAUAGUAAAAUCACUUACUGUUGUGUAUAAGUGCCAUUAAGGAUCAACCUAGAUCUGCGGAGGUGCAUAAGCUAGAUAAGUGCGCACAUGAACGCUGAGGAGGCGUGCCAAUGGCACGCCCCAGCCACUAGUUCACGGUAAGACAAGGCAGUUGUCAUGCAUGUCGUAUCAGUGCAUGUAUAUAUGGUAGAGUUGAGUUUAGUUUCCAUGUAUGUGGGCUUAUACUGCUUUGCCCGUAUGAGUAUGAUAUAAACUAGCUAGGAGUUGGUGUU